rnacentral:rRNA from 1 species
GCUAAUACUUGACGGUUUUCACCCCUUGUCGAGUCCAUUCCCUCUGGGAGUGUAAUCGAUGAGGGCGGGGGAUGCUUCACGUAUCCUCUACAUAUUACCACUUUUUUUUGAAUGAGGGUGGAAUAUAUGCCAAGAGAAUUGUAGAAAUCGAGAGAUUUUCACAAGUCAUCAUUAAGAAUAUCUGACCUAUCAACUGGUUGUUGGUAAGGUAGUGGCUUACCAAGGUGAUAACGGGUAACGAGGAAUAAGGGUUCGACAUCGGAGAGGGAGCUUUAGAGAUGGCUACCACUUCUAAGGAAGGCAGCAGGCGCGAAAAUUACCCAAUCUUAACAAAUGAAGGAGGUAGUGACGACAAUUAACGCUAUCCUCGUCUUUUGGCGAGGAUCGUCGGAAUGAUUUCGAUUUAAAAUAUCGAAAGAAAGCAAUUGGAGGGCAAGUCUGGUGCCAGCAGCCGCGGUAAUUCCAGCUCCAAUAGUGUAUUGUAAAGUUGUUGUGAUUAAAACGCUCGUAGUUGAAUGAAAACAAUCGGGACAUGAUUUACGAUCUCUCCUCCAUACGGUGGAUUCGUCCAUUAGGUUGAGUUGAUCAAAAAUCAAACAAUGUCCUACUAUAAGCGAGAGGGUGGAAUUAAUUCCAAACUCUUUUACUUUGAUUAAAUCAAGGUGCUUAAAGCAAAAUCUUCUGUUAACGAAUGAUGAAGCAUGGUAUAGAAUUAAAACAGAACAGAAAGAAUAACGAAUAAAUGGAGAUGGGCAACCAUUCGAAAUUUAUUUAUUUUUGUUUUGUUUAAAACAAGGUUAAGAGAAAUGAUUAGGGUGAUUUAGAUAGGAACGGGAGAGGUGGAA